AUAAGGGAUUUGGACAGUAUAGGGAUGAAAGAGUGAAGAUGCUGGUUAACUCUUGCAUAAGGGAUUGGGACAGUAUAGGGAUGAAAGAGUGAAGAUGCUGGUUAACUCUUGCAUAAGGGGUUUGGACAGUAUAGGGAUGAAAGAGUGAAGAUGCUGGUUAACUCUUGCAUAAGGGGUUUGGACAGUAUAGGGAUGAAAGAGUGAAGAUGCUGGUUAACUCUUGCAUAAGGGGUUUGGACAGUAUAGGGAUGAAAGAGUGAAGAUGCUGGUUAACUCUUGCAUAAGGGGUUUGGACAGUAUAGGGAUGAAAGAGUGAAGAUGCUGGUUAACUCUUGCAUAAGGGAUUUGGACAGUAUAGGGAUGAAAGAGUGAAGAUGCUGGUUAACUCUUGCAUAAGGGUUUUGGACAGUAUAGGGAUGAAAGAGUGAAGAUGCUGGUUAACUCUUGCAUAAGGGGUUUGGACAGUAUAGGGAUGAAAGAGUGAAGAUGCUGGUUAACUCUUGCAUAAGGGAUUUGGACAGUAUAGGGAUGAAAGAGUGAAGAUGCUGGUUAACUCUUGCAUAAGGGGUUUGGACAGUAUAGGGAUGAAAGAGUGAAGAUGCAGGUUAACUCUUGCAUAAGGGGUUUGGACA